rnacentral:rRNA from 1 species
GGCGUCACCUUGGGAUGGCCUUGCGGUGCAUUAGCUAGUUGGUGGGGUAAUGGCCCACCAAGGCGACGAUGCAUAGCCGACCUGAGAGGGUGAUCGGCCACACUGGGACUGAGACACGGCCCAGACUCCUACGGGAGGCAGCAGUAGGGAAUCUUCCACAAUGGACGAAAGUCUGAUGGAGCAACGCCGCGUGAGUGAUGAAGGUUUUCGGAUCGUAAAACUCUGUUGUAAGGGAAGAACAGGUAUGAGAGGUAAUGCUCAUGCUAUGACGGUACCUUGCGAGAAAGCCACGGCUAACUACGUGCCAGCAGCCGCGGUAAUACGUAGGUGGCAAGCGUUGUCCGGAAUUAUUGGGCGUAAAGCGCGCGCAGGCGGCCUUUUAAGUCUGAUGUGAAAGCCCCCGGCUCAACCGGGGAGGGUCAUUGGAAACUGGAAGGCUUGAGUACAGAAG